AUGAUGAUGAUCAUAACACUGAAGACGACACAUGAUGACAGCAGGAAUUACAUCCUCUGGCCUCACUGCAGGAAGCUGCCGAGCUGUCUUCCUGGGCAUCUGAGAACGUGUCUGCUUGUGUGGAAGAAGAUUCAGACCAUUUUUGGAGCUGAUGAUCCAAUUGUCAGGUGUGUGCCUCACUGCUUUGUCAUUUCCUGUUGCAGUACAAUACUCAAAAUUCCAUCAAAUGUGUGUGUGUGUGUGUGUGUGUUCACUUUUUCUUUUCUUAUGUUGUCAGUGGAAAUGAUUAGGAUGGGCUCGGUGGUGAGGGACAUACCUUCACUCCUUCCUGCAGCAUCUUCUGUUCCUCAGAGCUCCUGGAGAUGCUGAAAAAAAAAAUAAUUUUGUUGAUGCCUUGCUCUGUUUAUGGCUUUGUUGACAGUUUUUAUUAGCGCAUAUGACACAUUUUUGAAUAGAAGGCCCGUAGCAUUUAAAACCUAUUAAGUGUACAGUAAUUUAUAGAUGUUUAUUGAGACAUGAGUGUCCGUUUACGGAGAUGUAACUGCUUGUACCCUGGAUUUUGCUUUACUUCUCAUGCACAGGGAUGUACAUGGAUUUACCAGUGAGUGAGUAAACAUUUACGUCCGUGUCUGGAAGUUUAUCGUGUUAGUGAGCGGACUGGAAAACUGCCGCACACAAAACAGUCCGUUUCUGACAGUGUCCAGAAGUCAGAAAUGCCAGCGCACAUAGACAGAAACUGCCGGAAACGUUCCAUUUGUCACUAUUCCUUCCACUUUCCCACGGCUUACAGCUACGGCAGCCGAAGCAAGCAUGAAGCUGCUUCUGCUUGCAAUACAGCCCUGCACAUCUCAGUAUUUCCAUCCUGUUACUUCUGAUCCCCUUUUUAACUUUCAGCGGCCUCCAGCUCCUGUAGCAGACAUUAGCCUGGGGCUGCCUUUGCUAGCAGUGCAGGCUACACAGUCUCUUCAGGACAUCACCAACCCCACCCCCUUCAGGCCUACAGGAGCUGAAGCAAAUGUGAGACUGCCUCCCAUUGUAACACAAGCCACAUCUCUUCUUCUGCCUCAUGCUACUAAUAGCCAUUUUUCUGCCACUUCUUACCCCCUUUUCCUUUUCAGUGGCCCCCAGCUCCCGUAGCAGAUGCUAGCAUGAGCACGCCUCCGCUAGUGGCACAGACCCAUCCACAACCCUUUCCUUACCACCCUACCCAUGGCCUGCAGCCCCGAUGCCCGCCAUUUCCCCUCUUUUUUUCACUCCCAGAGCCGUCCCAAGUGUGAGCACGCUUCCACAAGCAGUUCCUGCAGCUACCUUUCCUCAUCCCCCCUCGCAUGCUUUCUCUUCCUUUUCUUUAUCUGCCAUUCCUCCGAAUGCUCUCACCUUGGAACCACCUCCUGUAGCCAGCAGCAUCAGGACAAAGAUUUUCAAGUUCA
ensembl:lncRNA